AUCCCUGAGGUCACAAUGGCUGCAUCAGUCCAUCCUGUGUCCUUGCGGCGAGGAGGUACAACCAAGGACUGUUGACUGGAUGAAUGAAAUGUGACUUUGAUGCUGCGCCCCAUCAAGCGGGGGUUGCUACAUUGUUGGGGGGAGGGGGUCCCUCAAGCAUCUAGUGUGUCCCCCAGGACACAGGCAGCACUCACUCCUGAGGCCCAACAUGGAAGUCCCCCCAACUGCUCCUGCCUCCCCAGGCAUCUCCCAGCCCCGAAAGGGGGCUCUUCACCACUGACCAAAACUCUCUGUGAUAGCACGGAUCCUGCAGAGUUGUGUGCGGGGUGCUGAGCUCCUCAGGGGAGGCUCCAUCUCAUUCAUGGUCAUGGCAAGGUGCCAAGUGCAGGCCUCACUCGGAAUCAGCAGCCAAGAGCUACUUGUCAAGCUGGAUUACAUGCAAGCCAGUCUCCAUUCUCAGAUUUA